GACGAACGCUGGCGGCGUGCUUAACACAUGCAAGUCGAACGGAAAGGCCCUGCUUUUGUGGGGUGCUCGAGUGGCGAACGGGUGAGUAACACGUGAGUAACCUGCCCUUGACUUUGGGAUAACUUCAGGAAACUGGGGCUAAUACCGGAUAGGAGCUCCUGCUGCAUGGUGGGGGUUGGAAAGUUUCGGCGGUUGGGGAUGGACUCGCGGCUUAUCAGCUUGUUGGUGGGGUAGUGGCUUACCAAGGCUUUGACGGGUAGCCGGCCUGAGAGGGUGACCGGCCACAUUGGGACUGAGAUACGGCCCAGACUCCUACGGGAGGCAGCAGUGGGGAAUAUUGCACAAUGGGCGGAAGCCUGAUGCAGCAACGCCGCGUGCGGGAUGACGGCCUUCGGGUUGUAAACCGCUUUCGCCUGGGACGAAGCGUGAGUGACGGUAAUGGGGAAAGAAGCACCGGCUAACUACGU
rnacentral:rRNA from 1 species